UUCUAUUCAACUUUUAGCUGGUAAGAAUGCUGCAAGUAAUUGAAAACAAGCUUUAAGUAAUAUGUAGUGUGAAGAAAUAGGCUUAUGGUUUUUGCAAAUGAGUUCUCUGACUUAUAUUUUUAUAUAUAGGGAUUGGUUGGAGGAGUUACUUGGUUUAUUUUUAGUAGUAUCCCAACAGUGUGGGACCAAACUUCACCCUAACAAAGCAUGACAGUGGACUCAAUUGCUUUACAUUAUUGUGGAAGAAAGCUCUGUUUGCUUCCCAACUUGUUGCAGUAAGAUAGAAGAAUUUUUUAGUUAACUAUAUAUUUAUAGCAUAGCACAUAGUUUCCCCGCGCUCAAAACCGUGUACUUUGACGUUGACUCAGUUAUUUCUUUAUUAUUUUUUUUUAUUGGAUAAUUUUUGCUACUGAAGGACAUGUUCCCAUGAGACAUAUUUGGGACCUUUGUUGUUUGGUUGUAGUGCUUGAAUGCAACUAUUUUUUUCCCGGCUGCUUCUCUAGUUUCUGUUGUGCCAUAGUUCAUUGUAUUUGCAGACCAGCAGCCCUUGUUGGUCUUUGAUAGAAGUUUCAUACAAGCACAAUACUAAGUCACCUAAUAUGGUUUUUUUGAUAGUUACCAUAAGGUGUUGAGAAGACUUUGAAGUACCAAUAAAUGAUAUAGUCGACAGGAAUCCCAACCUUCCACAACUUUUUAAGAAAAUCAUAUCUUGCCUCUUGCAGAAAUGCAGGGUAAGCCUGCGUAUAAUAGACCCUUGUGGUCCGGCCCUUCUCCCGCGCAUAGCGGGAGCUUAGUGCACCGGGCUGCCAUAUCUUGGUCCUGGGACCAUGCAUAGCUACAUCACUUAGAAAUAUUAAACUAUAUUGUACCAUGAGAAAGCAGGAAUAAUUGUACAGGAGAUUCAUCGCCAAUGGAUAGUCUAGUAGCUAAGAGACCACAAUUUAAUCGCAGUGUCAUAAGUUCAUUUAUUAGUGGUCGCAGGUCACUGCUGCGUGCGCAACUGGAUUUCCAUUAGCCUCUUAACUAUGUGCAAAUGUAUCUAUCUUCAGAACUGCAAAUCACUGAUCUCUCUUCCUCAUUUUCUACUAGUAACUGAAUACUGCUUGAGAAUAUAUUGGUGAUACGGCCAGUAGUGCCCCUAGGCUUACUUUACAACUCCAAUCACCUGCAGUUUUCUAUUUCGAACAUUGUGAAAUAUCCCUUUUGUCCCUCAAUAUAAUUCAAUUAAGAUUGGUUCAUUUCCUGCUGUCAAAAUGGAUAAGUAGUUUCUCAUCGUGACAUAACUGCCCUACCAAUUUUGGGUACAUGUCCUAUCUGUACAACUACAUGUGAUUAUGAGGUAAUAUUUUGGUGCAGGUUGUUAUAUGCAUUCAAUAUUCAAUCAUUGAUAACAAGUUGUUACUGUCCAUAUGUGACUUCACCGACGUGAUUCAUCAUUUAAUGUUGUGCAUAGUGAUAAAAAUCUGCUUUGUACUAAAAAUGUAAUAAGCAGAUGCAGAUCUGCUUUGGCUCAUCUUAAGAUACAUCAUCAAAUUUUGAUGCCUUAAAUUUUCUGUAUGAGGUUGAGCUGGUUUAGUUACUGGUGUUUCACUUAUUUCUUGAUUUACUGACAAAUUAAUGAAGAUUCUCUACAAAUUAAAUGAUCAUCUUAACCUACCUGCUGCUUCUUUAAUUACAAAAAGAAGAACACUAUUAAUUUGAUUACUUAGUCAAGCCUAAAUUGUGUAUCUUAAGAUUCUUGGAUGCUGAUAUUGAUAGAAAAAGAUAUAGUUGGAUUCUGGUUUUUCCAACUAGGUUUAUUUGAACAGAAAAUUCUUCAUGAACUGUUAUUAUUUUCAACAUUAGCUUAAAAUAUUGCUAUCAAUGUAAUUGUGCUUGAUUUGGUGGUCUAUUAAUUUCCACCAUCUUAUUACACUAUAUUUUUCAUGUGUAGCCUGUGGCAAAAAGAACUUUUCGUACACUAACAAGUCUUUCAUCAAUCUAUUAUCUCCCUCCGAGUUCUAGCAGAGAGUGGCGGAAGCAGAGCUUUCACCUAGGGGAUUCAAAAAAUAAAGAAAUAAGGGAUUCAGCAGCUAAUAUGUACAAAAAGAACUUUAAACUUAUAUACAAAGUGUAAUUUUUCAGCAAAGGGGGUUCGGUUGGAACACCUUCCGCCACCCUGGCUCCGCCCAUGCUAGCAGUAGCAUCCGUCAACUUUGACGAAGUGGUUGCAGUUGAUCUUUGGUGGAGAAAAAUGUUGUGUUUAGCAUGAUCAAAGAUUGUCUUGAGAUGAAUCCUCAUGUCGAUGAACUUCUCUUCAACCUUUAGCUGGCACUGUGGAAUAUCUCUUUUUUGGCCCUCAAUGACUCAAUCAAGAUUGGAUCAUUUCUUGCUGUCACAAUGAAUAAUUUGUUGCUCAUCCUGAAAUAUCUGUCCUACCAAUUUGCGCUUAUCCUUAUUGACAGUUCUCCUCAAGAGCACAUGUCCUAUAUGUACAGAUUCAAUCGAGAAGUCACAUAAACAAAUCAUCUCAU